UCGCAUCCUGGGGCUGGAGCAGGUCCCAAGGGUUUGGCUGUUCGCCAAUUAAAGCGGUACGUGAGCUGGGUUUAAAACGUCGUGAGACAGUUUGGUCCCUAUCUUUCGCGGGCGCAGGAUAUUUGAGAGGAGCUGUCCCCAGUACGAGAGGACCGGGAUGGACGGACCUCUGGUGUUCCAGUUGUCGCGCCAGCGGCACUGCUGGGUAGCUAUGUCCGGAAAGGAUAACCGCUGAAAGCAUCUAAGCGGGAAGCCUACCUCAAGAUGAGAUAUCCCUUUGGUAUGGAAACAUGCCAAACUGAAGACCCCUUGAAGACGACAAGGUUGAUAGGCCAGAUGUGCAAGUCCAGUAAUGGAUUUAGCUAACUGGUACUAAUCGGUCGUGCGGCUUGACCAC
rnacentral:rRNA from 1 species